rnacentral:rRNA from 1 species
UACGGAGGGGGCUAGCGUUGUUCGGAAUUACUGGGCGUAAAGGGCUCGUAGGCGGCCAACUAAGUCAGACGUGAAAUCCCUCGGCUUAACCGGGGAACUGCCUCUGAUACUGGAUGGCUUGAGGUUGGGAGAGGGAUGCGGAAUUCCAGGUGUAGCGGUGAAAUGCGUAGAUAUCUGGAGGAACACCGGUGGCGAAGGCGGCAUCCUGGACCAAUUCUGACGCUGAGGAGCGAAAGCCAGGGGAGCAAACGGG